CAUCUACAGCGGGCCUCUACCUUUAUAUCAAGUCCUUGGCUUGACUCUACUUCCGAUGAAGCUGAAUGAACUUGUAGAAGGAACACGCCGUGUGAAGUUAAGUGAAAUUUUGAAGAUAGUAUCAUUCUUGAGCUAAACCAACUACUUAGGUGUUCACGAUAAUUAAAGACUCAACCAAGUCGUCUGAUAGACUUAAGAGGAAAUAAACAUUUACAUGUCAGGAAAUCAAGGAAAAAUAGUGAAAGCCCUAUCCCACAUCAAAUUUCUUUUAUGUCAUGUGGUCUUACAACAAAAUCAUAAACAAUAAAUGAAUGAUUGAAAGAAAAAAUUAUAGGAGAUAAUAGUAUACUACACAUAGAGAUAUCCAACAUGAGAGGGAAUCUGGAGGGCACUCCAGUAAUCAUAACUGUUUGUCAUUCUAAACAAAAAAAAAAAAAAAAAAAAAAAAAGCAAACUUAACAGUUACUCCGAAAAAAUGACUGCCUUCCCAAUACCAACUGAAAGUUGUGAAAACAGAUCCAACACAAUUGUUAAGGAAGCAAAGAGGGGAAGAAAAUUUGUUCGAAUAAGCUCUUAGCUGGUGGAAAAUUCCACAUGACAAAAAAAGAAAGCCCAGCUCCCAAAAAUUCAUAAGGCUUUCAGAUAUUGACCAGAAAAGUAAGUUUCCCAACAUGAAUCAUUAAUAAAACAUGCAUAGGGCGGCUCAAAAAUCCUUUAUAUUGACAAGCAUCUAAAUUUCAAAGCACAGGUAGUAAAACACUAACCUUGAGGGUUUCAGUAACGGGAACUUUGCCCCUCAAAGCCUAUACUAUUAUUGAUGCAGAUGCUUGAACUCAUGGCAGUUGGCUCCAACGUCAGUUAAUGCUGAGAAAAGCCUUGGCAUAAUCUUAGCUAAUAUCAAUUUGAAACCAACUGAAGUUGAAUUUGCAUUGUCGCCUUCACUUAUGGAAGCAUCUUUACUAAGAGAACCUAUUAAGUAGCCUUUCAUAUGGGCAUCACAGGCCUUCAAGAUGUAGUAGCCACGCUUUCUGAAAUGCUCUUUCACAAGAUCUUCAAAGUCCU
rnacentral:lncRNA from 1 species